GUGAAGAGACUUAAUUUCGGGGUGCGUGAAAUCAAGAGACUGGUUUGAAUCAGAAUACUAUUAUAAUUGUAAUGGAACGUGUGGAUGUACAGAUGGUCAUUGUAAAGAUAGGAUCGAUACAUGCAAAGAAACUCUCACUUAUUGUUUUAAUGAAGAAGAUCAAGGUUAUUGUGAACGGUCCUGUGGUUAUUGUUUAUUAAAGAAUUGUAAGGACUUACUUCACCCUAACCUUUGUAAUUCGUAUAAAUACAAUUGUGAUGAAGAAAAUGUCCGAUACUUUUGUUCUAAAACCUGUGGAGUGUGUGAUAAAAUAUGCCAAAAUGUGAUGAUAUAUGAUAAACAGUGUUAUCUUUUCAAGGCUCGGGGAUAUUGCGAGAACUAUCAUCCAUAUUGUAGUACAAUGUGAAAACUUUGCCACAAGACAUGCUCACCAGAUUGCUCAGAAUCAGGAAAAACAGCUUGUUAUAGGGGUUAUGGUCCUAUGCCUGAUGAAUAAAACCAAGAAUAGUUAUAUCGCCUUCCUUAAAAUAUAAGAAUAAAUCAUUUGUAGUGUG
rnacentral:lncRNA from 1 species